CUAUGCUUAUCGGGUCACGGCAAAUUCCGUGACCGGGUUUGACAGCCCGAAUC
rnacentral:ncRNA from 1 species